UUCCCCUUGAUCAGCAAAACCUAAAUUGAGCGUCACUCCAACAUCCCUCUCUUUGUCUCGCUGUCAAACAACCAGAUCUCAAAACCUAAAACCAUCGAUUUCAAACAUCGCUCUCUCUGUCUCGAUCAUUUAAUUUAAGAGAUCUGGAUCUGGAUAGAUGAUUUCAAGCUCUUAGAUCCAAACGCCGCUCAUACUCAUGUUUGUCGAUUGGAGUGUGGAUAAGCAUGUAUGUAUGUGUGUAGGAUUCAAAAGGGGAAGAGAUGCGGAAAGGAGUUGAAUAAUUCCUGGAGCUGAGAGAACAAAAGCAAAACAAAGAAGAAAAAUGGCUCGUGGUGCUUUUGAUUCAGGUUUGUAGAAGUUGGUAUAGAAAACGAUCAUGUACGUGACGAAAAUGUUUCUGAUGCUGAUACCGGGUUGAAUCAGGCAAGUUUGUAGUUUCUUGGAUUAUAUGUAUCAGUGAAUGCAUUGUUUAUUAACUCUCUCAUCUGAGUAUAAUAUAUCCAGCCAUUGCAUUCCAAAUCAUCUUCAUUUAUUGGAGACGAAAGAACUAAUCUAUCUGGGAAUGAAGCAGUUAAAACUGUAGCUUCAGCAAACACAGUUGGGUAUAACACAUAAGAUAGUUGAAAGGUUAUAAAGAUGAGAACAUGCAAUCACUCUCAAUUUCGGGUUUGGUUACUUAAUUGCAAUACAUAAUUAGUAAUAACAACGUUCAUAACCACAUAGACAUGGUUUGUAUUUAUCGUCCCACUAACCUAGAGCACAAUCCAUGUAUUUACACACAAUCAACAUGACCUUUAACUAAAUUAAUUAGGGUGCAUUAGACACAAUCGAGUGGUGUAUUAUAAACCAUGUGUCGAAAUCUGAGCAUAACAUCUCUUGGUAUCGUUUUCGCUCUGGGCCACCAAAAAAUUGAUCCAGCCUUGGGAUAAUGUGAUUGUUGUUCCUUCAACCCGAGUACAAAAUUUAUCGAAAAAAUGAAACAAAAAUCUGGGAUAAAGCGUACUAGAAUUCAUUUUAGUUUUAGGGCAUUUUGGACUCAAGCAUAUGUACAUGCCUUGGUUAGUUAUUUCUGUUAAGUAUAUAUCAGGAUAGAUGUGCGCUAGGACGACUUGCGGCUGAGCGGCUUCCCCUCCGAUGAGUUUUGGUGGCGGCAGUCGUCACAUCUGAAACCACCUAUCAUGUUUCAGCAACGGAGGAAGUAACCUGUUUUACCGGCGGAUAACGGACUCCGGGGAGAAGCUCACCAGCGAUGGUAGUACCAGAAACGGCAGCGGUGGCUCUCUUCGUGUAUUGCUGGUUCGGGCCCGGUGUAUUUCUGGUGGAGCUCCGAUUCACAGCUAUAACAGUGGCAGUAUACAUCCCCUUGUAGCCCAUCGGGUGGAAUGGCUACUACCAUGGCUUAAGUUUACUAUGUACCCUUGAUCUUAGUUCCACUUUUGUUUCAAUUGGCAAAUGAUUAUAGAAUCUUGCUUUUCUCAUGGUAAAUUUCACUUGAAAAAGCUUGUUGCUAUUAAUUAGUUUCUUU